rnacentral:tRNA from 1 species
GGCAGGGUGUCCUAGUGGCUAGAGCACUGGCCUGGGACUCAGGAGACCUGGAUUCUAUUCCCAGCUCUGCCA